rnacentral:tRNA from 10 species
CAGAUAGCUGGUAAGAUAAUAUUUCUGGGUGUUUCUGUGAGGAUGUCUCUGGAAGAGAUUAGCAUUUGAAUCAGAAGACUGAGUAAGGAAAAUUACCCCCACCAAUUUGGGCCAGCAUCAUCCAAUCAACUGAGGGCCCAAAUAGAACAGAGGGGUAGAGGAAGGAUGAAUUUGCUCUUUUUGCCUGAGCUGAAACAUCCAUCUUCUUCUGACUUCAGACAUCAAUGCUCCUGUUUUUCAGGCUUUGGUACUUACACCAUUUAGUCUCCUGAUUCUCAGGCCUUAGUACUUGGACUGAAUUACACCACCAGCUUCCCUGGUUCUCUAGCCUGCAGAUGGUGGAUCUUGGAACUUCUCAGCCUCCAUAACUGCGUGAGCCAAUUCCUGUAAUACAUCUCCAGUUAUAUGUGUAUAUGUAUCCUGUUUGUUCUGUUUCUCUGGAGAACUCUGACUAAUAUACGAGCCAUUGGAUGGCAUACAGAGCUGGGAACUGCUCUUCCUGUCUGUGGGAGGAGUUCAUGGAGCUGUAGGUAGCUACAGCAGGACAAGAAUGGGAGCUUUUGGGGUGCCUGUCAGGAAGAGGGGUAAAUACAAGGGACCUCUGUGAGGUGAAGCUAUAGCCAGAGAAAUAGUAUUGGGUUUGUGUUGUUGUCAACCAAUUGUAGCCCAUGCUGAAUGGCCUGAAAAAUACUGAUUACAUGUUAGAGGCCUAUCCUUCCCACCUCCCCCCAUGCCUAGAAUAGAAGCAUCUCAAUGACCAUGUUCUUUGGGAUUUUUUCAGUUUCUAGAAAUGCCUGGCUCACUGGAGGUUCUCCGUGGUUGAAUGCUGUGUUUUCAGUUGGGGAGGUGUGGACACAAGGGGAAUCCUGGACAACAUAACAAGUACCCUCUGCAGAGAUGGAGAGAAAACAUGGUGGGGUAGGCUACAGUGGCACACUGUGUCAGCUGGGGAAGAAAGGCUGAGAGGCACUGUGCCCUGAGGCUUCCAGAGGGCCAUGGGCAGGCAGGGCCUUGUGCUUCCGGGCAAGUGUGUUGAGAAGUUCAACAGACAGAUCUGGGUUUGAAUCCUACCUGGCUCUUUAUUUGCUAAGAAGUUGCUUCACCUUUGAACUUCACUUUCUCCAUCUGGGAAAUAGAAAUGGUCAUACUUACCACCAUGGGAUUAAUGUGAGCAUUCAAAGGAAGAAUAUUCUCAAAGGACCGAUCAAGUGACAGGCAAAGAGUAAGCACCCAAUAUCUGCCAGCUGUUGUUCUGAUUUAGGACAAAGUCUUCUCUCCAGGGAUGUUUACGUCCCAAAAUGAUUACUUCUCCUGGUUGAUAAUUAUGCUGGACCAGAUGAUUGCAUUUAUGAACAUUCUAGAAGGAAGUUGGCACUGAGUCUUCGAGCAGCUGCAUGUGUGACUGGAACUGAAGCACAAAAGCUCAGCGACUGUGGGACAGACAUAUUGUGUCACAUGAAGAGAGGAACAAUUGAUAAACAGAGUAAAACAAAACUAGUGGACAGGGAGAGGUGAGGAGAUUGAAAGAGGGCACCAAGAAAUGUAAUUGCAGUGCAUCAUUGCAUUAAACUGGGAAGAGCCUUAUGAAUCAACUCUUCCUUGGAUCUGGAAAGCAUGUUGUUCAUUAUCUGCCAGCACCUAUAAAAGAGAAAUGAGUAGAACCUGCUCAUUCAUCAGUUGAAUUGCUGUGCUACUUUCUCCAAGGUUCCUUUACAAGCCUAGUACUUACUCCCUAAACAGUGUUUGACAAAAGUGGGUGUGCACACCAUCUGAAUUGAUUCCCUCCCCGCCACCUGCCACUGCAGAGUUCUUAUAGUCCCAGCAUGCUCCAAACCCUGAGAAUAGCUAAAUUAUGAUAGUUAUAUUGCUUUUCAUAUCAGCCUUCUAAUAAUCUUUUUCUUUUCCUUUUUUUCUUUUCUUUUUUUUUUUUUUUUUGAGACAAAAUUUUGCUCUGUCACCCAGGCUGGAAUGCAGUGGUACGACUUCGGCUCACUGCAAUCUCAGUCUCCUAGGAUCAAGCGAUUCUCAUACGUCAGCCUCCCGAGUAGCUGGGAUUACAGGCAUGCGCCACCACGCCCAGCUAAUUUUUUGUAUUUUUAGUAGAGAUGGGGUUUCGCCAUUUUGGCCAAGCUGGUCUCGACCUCCUGACCUCAAGUGAUCUGACCACCUUGGCCUCCCAAAGUGCUGGGAUUACAGGCAUGAGCUACCACACCCAGCCUUUUUCUAUUUAAAGGAUAAAAACCUAUCCCUUUUUGUAGGAAACACAAAAAACACUUCACUCACAUAUAACAUGUCACACAUACCCUUGCAGUGGGAGAAUGUCUAGAGGCAACCAAGGAUUCCAUCCACUGGAGCCCCACGCUAUUCAUCACAUUUCCAUCUACCCAUUGUCUCUCCAAGUUAAUUCUCCCAGUUAAUAACUGAUAUUGUACAGAUUGUUAAAAUUGAUUCUAAGCAAUGUCCACUCUGGAAAGGAAAUGUGUUAUAUAUGGAGAAAGAGAUGAAUCAGUUUGCAAAUUCCCAACUCAUCGAGUAUCAGAUAAAUGAAAAUGCUGAGACUUUGGAGUUGCAAAAGCCUGGAUUUUGAGCCUCAAAAUGUGCAAAAUAUAUUCCAUGUUCUGAUUAUCUAUUGCUGCAUAAAACAUUACACCAAAAUUCAGUAGCUUAAAACAGUCAUUUAAAUUUGCUCACAAUUUCGUGGUUUGGGAAUUGGGAAGGGCUCGGCUGAGUGAUUCUUGCCUCAGGUCUUUCAUGAAGUGUCAGUCAGAUGUUGACUGGAACAGGAACCAACCGAAGGCUUGUGUGUGCUGAGCAUCUGAGAGGCUUCCUCAUAGGCUGGCAAUGGAUGCUGCCUUUUGGCUAAGAGCUCAGCUGGAGCUCUUGACUAAAGUACUCAUCUGUGGCCUCUGGACAUUGCUUGGGCUUCUCACAGCCAUGGUGGCUGGGUCCUGGAGGAAGCAUGUGGAGAGUGAGUGUUUAGAGACCAAAGCAGAAACUGCAAGACUUCUUCUGAUCUAGCUUCAAAAGUCACACGGUGGUAUUGUCAUCAUACUGUUGGUACUGUUGGUUUUAAGUAAGUCACCAAGGUCAGCCCAGACCCAAGGGGAGGGAAUUAUACCCCACCUCUCUUUAGGAGAAAGGCCAAAGAAUUUACUGCUAUUUCCAAUCAGCAAGUGCCAAAAACAAAUGAUUUAGAAGAAUUGGUGAACAGUGUAGCUACCCUCUGGAAAUGAGGUAGAGGAAGAGAGUUACAGGGGGAAGAAAGAGACUGUAGACACUCAAGUUGAUAGGAAACCCUUCUCUUUUCUCACAUCAGACUCAUCAAAUUUUGGAGGAGGCAGAUAAGACAUGCCAGGCUCCCAGUACAGUUUAGGGUAUCUGAGACCAUGGGAAACAUUGUAUUACUUCUUGAAAACUCAGAUGACUCACUAGCAUUAAGUAGAAAUGCCUGGGUGCUGUGCCUAGGCUGAUAGGCUUGAGACAGCCUCAGAGCUCUCCUUGUUCCAGCAAUGUACAGUUCCAAAUGAAACAGACCUGGUGGUGUUAAUGAAGUGGGUAUUGCAGUCAUCUGCAAAGACUAUCACCUAGAGACUAGAUGGGAAUGAGAAUGUCUUGGCAGGCUCCUGUGUGGACAGAUGUCUGUUGAGGACAGGAUAGGAACUUAGAUGGAACCCUAGAAAAAAUUGAGCAUGUGUGUUGGGGAAGAGACCCAACAGAUUUAGUUGGGUUAAAUUUGGUUUAUGUUACCUGAUGAAAUGGGACUCAAAAUAGAAAUUAAACUCAGUUUUAGAAAUAUAUUUGUGAACUGACUCAUCUCUCUCUCCACAUAGAACACAAUGUUUCGCUUUCAGAGUGGACAUUGCUUAGAAUCAAUUUUAAUAAUCUGUAAAAUAUCAAUUAAAAAAAGAAAAUAAGCCACACAACAAAUGCAUUUAUAUCAUAGGGAGCAGAGGGAAUAUUGUCUUGUUUUGUAUUCAAAAGUCUGUUCUUCACAACAAAACUCAGUUUUAGAAAUAUACAGUCUUGCACACUUGAAUUUGUGAACCAAUUCGUCUCUCUUUCCAUUUAUAACACAAUGUUUCCUUUCCAGAGUGGACAUUGCUUAUAAUCAAUUUUAACAAUCUGUACAAUAUCAAUUAUAAAAAAAAGUAAGCUGCACAACAAAUGCAUUUAUAUUACAAGGAGCAGAGGGAAUAUUAUCUUGUUUUGUAUUAAAAAGUCUGUUCUUCACAACGAUAUCUGAGGCUCUGAGAGAUCUGAGUUUUAGAAUCCCAGAAAGAUGGCCUGAAUAAGAUUUAUUCUGAAAAAGCAAGACUGACAAUGUUUGAAGCUUUUCUAAAUCUUAAAUUCUAAAUCCAAGUGUCUAGCUUUAUUGCCUGGAUUAAAUAUUUCAAGUCAAAAUGUCCUGACUUUUAGGGGCUUUUAUUGAGUGUUUCUCUCCUAAAAUAAAAUGAAGCUAGGUUAUGAGUGGGUCAUCUUCAAAAAGAUGUAUUAUCAUUCUGAUAAUUUGAAGAACAUACAAUUAUAUAAAAGUACAAAUCAAAACUAAGUAAUUUAUAUGAAACGACUUCAAUUAACCAUGUAACCAAAAAAGAGCUACAAAGAAUUCAAAUAAGCUAAGUGCAACGUCUCAGGCCUGUAAUCCCAGCACUUUGGGAGACCAAUGCGGGCAGAUCACUUGAGCCCAGGACUUUGACACCAGCCUGGCCAACAUGGUGAAACCCUGUCUCUACAGAAAAAAUACAAAAAUUGGCCAGGUGUGGUGGUGAGUGCCAGUAGUCCCAGCUACUAGGGAGGCUGAGGUGGAUCACUUGAGCACAGGAGGAUCUCUUACGGCAGAGGCUGCAGUAAGCCAUAAUCACACCACUGUACUCUAGCCUGAGUGUCAGAGUGAGACCCUAUCCACUCCCCCCCAAAAAAAUUCAAAUAAACUCAAAAUGAAAGUUUGAAACAUGAGAAACAGACUGCUAAUUUAUUUAGAAAUAUAUUUUUCAUAGUGUGUGUUCAUAUGUCUAUUAUUCUAAAAAUUAUUUAUACAUCUAGAAUAGAAUGGCAAAUCUCUAGCCUAUUCAUUCAAAUUAGUAUCUAUUAUUGAUUUGAGGUGAGAGAAUAAUGAGAGUAUUUAGCUAUAACUGAAUAAAUCAGGUUAAUUCAUUUUAAAUCAUUUUAGUUGUGAUUUUGGCUUUAAUGUAAGCUCUCGCUUUAUUUUAAGCUUAGGAUAAAUUGAAAAUAAUUCUC